GACGGGGCCGCACAAGCAGCGGAGCGUGUGGUUAAUUCGAUGCUACACGAAGAACUUACCCGGGUUUGACAUGCAAGUGGUAGUGAUCCGAAAGGUGAACGACCCGCAAGGGAGCUUGCACAGGUGUUGCAUGGCUGCCGUCAGCUCGUGUCGUGAGAUGUUCGGUUAAGUCCGCUAACGAGCGCAACCCUCGCUGUAUGUUACAUGUGUCAUACAGGACCGCCGGUAUCAAGCCGGAGGAAGGUGGGGAUGACGUCAAGUCCGCAUGGCCUUUAUGUCCGGGGCUACACACACGCUACAAUGGUCGGUACAAUGGGUUGCUAAGCCGCGAGGUGGAGCCAAUCCCCCAAAGCCGGCCUCAGUUCAGAUUGCAGGCUGCAACUCGCCUGCAUGAAGCUGGAGUUGCUAGUAAACGCGCGUCAGCUAUAGUGCGUUGAAUACGUUCUCGGGCCUU
rnacentral:rRNA from 1 species